UACGGAGGGUGCGAGCGUUGUCCGGAAUCAUUGGGCGUAAAGGGCGCGUAGGUGGCGGGAUAAGCGUGCGGUGAAAGCUUGGGGCUCAACCCCGAGUCGGCCGUGCGAACUGUUCUGCUUGAGCACUGUAGAGGCAGGCGGAAUUCCUGGUGUAGCGGUGAAAUGCGCAGAUAUCAGGAGGAACACCGGUGGCGAAGGCGGGUCUCUGGGCCGAAACUGACGCUGAGGAGCGAAAGCGUGGGGAGCAAACAGG
rnacentral:rRNA from 1 species